AGAGUUUGAUCCUGGCUCAGGACGAACGCUGGCGGCGUGCCUAAUACAUGCAAGUCGAGCGGARGUUUCAAAAGCUUGCUUUUGGAACUUCAGCGGCGGACGGGKGAGUAACACGUGGGCAACCUGCCUGUAAGACUGGGAUAACUUCGGGAAACCGGAGCUAAUACCGGAUAAYCCUUUCCUUCACAUGGAGGRAAGCURAAAGACGGUUUCGGCUGUCACUUACAGAUGGGCCCGCGGCGCAUUAGCUAGUUGGUGGGGUAACGGCCCACCAAGGCGACGAUGCGUAGCCGACCUGAGAGGGUGAUCGGCCACACUGGGACUGAGASACGGCCCAGACUCCUACGGGAGGCAGCAGUAGGGAAUCUUCCGCAAUGGACGAAAGUCUGACGGAGCAACGCCGCGUGAGCGAAGAAGGCCUUCGGGUCGUAAAGCUCUGUUGUCAGGGAAGAACGAGUACCGGAGUAACUGCCGGUACCUUGACGGUACCUGACCAGAAAGCCACGGCUAACUACGUGCCAGCAGCCGCGGUAAUACGUAGGUGGCAAGCGUUGUCCGGAAUUAUUGGGCGUAAAGCGCGCGCAGGCGGCCUCUUAAGGCUGAUGUGAAAGCCCACGGCUCAACCGUGGAGGGUCAUUGGAAACUGGGGGGCUUGAGUGCAGAAGAGGAGAGCGGAAUUCCACGUGUAGCGGUGAAAUGCGUAGAGAUGUGGAGGAACACCAGUGGCGAAGGCGGCUCUCUGGUCUGUAACUGACGCUGAGGCGCGAAAGCGUGGGGAGCGAACAGGAUUAGAUACCCUGGUAGUCCACGCCGUAAACGAUGAGUGCUAAGUGUUAGAGGGUUUCCGCCCUUUAGUGCUGCAGCAAACGCAUUAAGCACUCCGCCUGGGGAGUACGGCCGCAAGGCUGARACUCAAAGGAAUUGACGGGGGCCCGCACAAGCGGUGGAGCAUGUGGUUUAAUUCGAAGCAACGCGAAGAACCUUMCCAGGUCUUGACAUCCUCUGACACUCCUGGAGACAGGACGUUCCCCUUCGGGGGACAGAGUGACAGGUGGUGCAUGGUUGUCGUCAGCUCGUGUCGUGAGAUGUUGGGUUAAGUCCCGCAACUAGCGCAACCCUUGAUCUUAGUUGCCAGCAUUCAGUUGGGCACUCUAAGGUGACUGCCGGUGACAAACCGGAGGAAGGUGGGGAUGACGUCAAAUCAUCAUGCCCCUUAUGACCUGGGCUACACAYGUGCUACAAUGGAUGGUACAAAGGGCAGCGAAGCCGCGAGGUGAAGCCAAUCCCAUAAAACCAUUCUCAGUUCGGAUUGCAGGCUGCAACUCGCCUGCAUGAAGCCGGAAUCGCUAGUAAUCGCGGAUCAGCAUGCCGCGGCGAAUACGUUCCCGGGCCUUGUACACACCGCCCGUCACACCACGGGAGUUUGUAACACCCGAAGUCGGUGGGGUAACCGCAAGGAGCCAGCCGCCUAAGGUGGGACAGAUGACUGGGGUGAAGUCGUAACAAGGUAGCCGUAUCGGAAGGUGCGGCUG
rnacentral:rRNA from 1 species